AAUGAAUUGCCUGAUGAAAAGGGUUACCUUGAUAGGGUAAAUUAUGUAAUAACUUUACAUUCAUUA
rnacentral:tRNA from 1 species